GACCUACGGCAUGGUGUGAACAGGUUAUAUGCGGUGCAGUGUGAUAUUGGAAUAUGCUGCAUCACGUGUAACCUUCCUAUACCGUGCUGUGUCUC